CGAUUGCUAAUACCCCAUAUGCUGCAAAGUAAAAUGGAUUUAUCCGCCUAGAGAGGGGCUUGCGGCUGAUUAGCUAGUUGGUAAGAUAAUAGCGUACCAAGGCGACGAUCAGUAUCUGGUUUGAGAGGACGAUCAGACACACUGGAACUGAGACACGGUCCAGACUCCUACGGGAGGCAGCAGUGGGGAAUUUUCCGCAAUGGGCGAAAGCCUGACGGAGCAAUACCGCGUGAGGGAAGACUGCCUAUGGGUUGUAAACCUCUUUUUUCAGGGAGGAAUAAUUGACGUGUACCUGAAGAAUAAGCAUCGGCUAACUCCGUGCCAGCAGCCGCGGUAAGACGGAGGAUGCAAGUGUUAUCCGGAAUCACUGGGCGUAAAGCGUCUGUAGGUUGUUGUUUAAGUCAACUGUUAAAUCUUGAGGCUUAACCUUGAAAUCGCAGUCGAAACUAUUCAACUUGAGUAUAGUAGGGGUAAAGGGAAUUUCCAGUGGAGCGGUGAAAUGCGUAGAUAUUGGAAAGAACACCGAUGGCGAAGGCACUUUACUGGGCUAUUACUGACACUCAGAGACGAGAGCUAGGGUAGCA
rnacentral:rRNA from 1 species